UGAGGAAUAUUGGUCAAUGGCCGGAAGGCUGAACCAGCCAAGUCGCGUGAGGGAAUAAGGCCCUACGGGUCGUAAACCUCUUUUGUCGGGGAGCAAUGGGUGACUUGCGAGUCAUCAGGGAGAGUACCCGAAGAAAAAGCAUCGGCUAACUCCGUGCCAGCAGCCGCGGUAAUACGGAGGAUGCGAGCGUUAUCCGGAUUUAUUGGGUUUAAAGGGUGCGCAGGCGGUGCGGAAAGUCAGCGGUAAAAUUACGGAGCUCAACUCCGCCGAGCCGUUGAAACUUCCGCACUAGAGUGAGCGAGAAGUAAGCGGAAUGCGUGGUGUAGCGGUGAAAUGCAUAGAUAUCACGUAGAACGCCGAUUGCGAAGGCAGCUUACCGGCGCUCAACUGACGCUCAGGCACGAAAGUGCGGGGGUAUCGAACAGGAUUAGAUACC
rnacentral:rRNA from 1 species